UUUGUGUGUGGCUGUCUCUUGGGGUAAAGGCGAGGGUCCGGUUGGUUGGGCUAGAACCGUAGCACACACUCUCUCUCUCUCUAUUUUGCCGUUCUCCUCUUCCUCUCUUACAUCCAGGCGCCGUCGUCUCGCCGCUUCUCCCGUCGUCGAUCCUCAGUUUCUAGGUUCGACUGACGGCUAGGGUUGGAUUUUUGUUGUGGAUGAUGCCUCUCCGUUCUUUGCCCAGUUGACUGCGAUGGAUGAGGAUUGGGGUUAGAGUUUGCUGAGAUUUGGCCCUCGGUCGUUGUCGUGUCGUCCUGGUCUUCAGCUUCCAAGGGAUUGGAUCUGGUGCGGGUGUUUCUUGCUGGGGUGUCUGUUGACGGUCCUUGGACAGAUACUUUGCUGGAUUCUUUUUUUGCCAUAUGUUUGCCUCUAUGCUCGUCUUGUUGGUUGUAAUUGGUUGUAAUGGUUGUUGCAUAGGAGUGUUUAGUACGGCAGUCCUGUUGUUUGAUGGUUGUGAUGCCUUUGUUAAAGCCUUGGGUCAGGAGGAUCCGUAUAUACGUGGUUCAGGCUACUUUUGGUUAUGGAUAUGAGCUUGUCGUGUGUUUAGAUAAAGUGGUUCGUGCUUAGGUGUAGGGGUUUGCUUUGACUGGAUGCUAUUUUUACUUUGUAGGAUCUGCUUCUUGAGGUUUGUCCUGGAUAUAUGUCUCAGCAACAUGGCUGGUAUUCUAGCUUAUGUGUCGUGUUCCGGGGUGUGGUGAGCACGCCGGUUGAUAUUUGAAUUCAUGUAUACUUACAGACUAGGUAGGAUGAACGAUUGUCAAGUAUUAAAAGGUGAAUUAUGCAUUUUGGUUCCCGGUGUGCUGAUUUAUGGUCCUGGGGCUUUUAGUUUGGGUGAUUUGCUUCUCGUAUAUGCUUUUUAUUUCCUAUCUAGAUGCUUUGUGUUGUUCUUUUGAACUGAAUGAUCUAACGUUUGUUCCUGGCUUUUUUUUCUCUUUCUUGUGAGGAGUGGGUUUAAUUUUUGAUGGGUCUUAUUUAUGGCUGGAUGUUUGCUGUGAAUUGUUCGUAUGUGCAUCUGUUGGAUGUCGUCGUCUCUCGAUGUCGUUUGCCAUUCCACUCAUACCCGCGAGAGGUUAUGGAAGAUGGUGAUUUGCUCGGUGGAGUCGAGAUUGAGGUUGAUGUUCUUGGGAGUGAUGCAUUGACAGUCAGGAGGUUCUUCUGGUCCCAGGCCAGUGUGGGCUUGUCCAUUUAUGAAAGCGCUGCUUUCCAGGCAAUUUGUUUUCUGCAAGGGGUGUAUGGGUUUGUUCUGUUGGAUUACAAUUAUAGAAGUAUGUCUACUUAUCGAGAGCUUGCUCGCUCUGCGGUGGUUCUGGCUGCGUCGUUGGUCAGGGCAUAAUUACAAUAAAUGAUUCCAACUCGACGAACCUCAAGAAAUGCCAGAGAGAGCUCAGAGCUAAGCAGUUCUGGUCAUCAGUGCUAUUUGAGCGUGCAGAAUCCUUUCAGAAAUAGCUCGCCUCUUUCACCGCGACAAAGAAAAGGCCUCAUUCAGAGAGUGACGAUGAUAGCACUCCAGCACCUGAAAUGUGUCAACGAAUCAGAGGUAAUCAUGUUGUUGUUCUGCUUUUCGUUUCCAUUCCGGCAAUACCAAAUGUUGUCUUACAUACAACUGACCAUUUACAUCAAGGAUGGCCUCAAUGACACCGCCGGCUCGCUCCCACCAUACGAAGAAGCAUCAGACAAUGAACGGGAUCACGGGCCCAGCAAGAAAACAAAGUCUCAGCCUACUGCCCGCAGGACAUUAGUCUUUAAAGACUGAAUGCACGGGUCGCAUGAUACAUAGACGGGGAUGACGUUGGAGUUUUGCCCUCUGUCUAUGCCUCAAGUAUCGAUUAUGCCUCUCUGUGAUGUCACUCCCAUGUCAUCUUUAUUUUGUUUAUUCAGCAAAUGAUGGAUUAGACGAGGAUUUAUUCGCACUGAAUCUGUACAACUAUGGACUAUUUAUGCAGUCUUUUAUUUAAGCUUUGAAAUGAGUGGAUUGGAUGCUUA